rnacentral:lncRNA from 10 species
UAUUUAAACUUUGGUCUUUGUCAGCAACUUUGUUAUUGGUACCCACAAUUCCCUUUUGUAACUUCCCAAUUGUCUUUAAUUCUGAAGGUGAAAUCUGUUAACCUGGCUGCUUAGCAUGAAGUAACUGCAGAGUGGGUUAAAAAUUUGGCAAGAACAAUAUCACAGUGACUUUUUUGCCUUGCCUUUGAGUUUUUACUCCAUUACCACUCCCCACUCCCCAAAAAUAUCCUUCAAAUUUUUAUUCCAUUUGGAUGAUUUAGGAAUUACCAUCGGACUUGAAUUGCAUUGUGUUUUUAUUGGAAAACCAUCAAAUCUCUUCUUUCUAAAUCCUUGAACAAGCAUGUCUGUAGGUAGAUGGGUGCAGGAAACUGGGUACAACAGUAAUCCCAGCAUGAAGCACACAGCCUGAAUCAAAAUUAAAACUUGAUAAAUAUUUGUCAAGAAAAUGAAUAAAUUUAAUUUUUACUGGGGUUUAUGUCUUCUAAAAACAAUUGACAGACCAUGAGUCAGGAAGCAGAGCAUCUAGCUUAUAAUUAUUAGUUCACUUCGUAGCACUCAAGUUUUAUACAAAAAUAAAAUCUUGAAGAAUUGAAUUAAUUAAGAAAAAAGUUGAGAUUCAGGAGUUUAUGUCCAAACCCAGAUCUAUUUUUGUGUAACCUUGGCCUUUGGCCAAGUUUUUCCCUCUAGAGUAGGAAAGUAUUCUGGACAGUAUCUUCCUUGCCUUCCAAUGCUGGGACUGUGAUUGUAACACACGUGUUCGUUAGUUUACUCACAUGGGCUAAGACAGUCAUGUUUAUUGCCUGCUUUGAUUCCACGCUUCACCUGGAACUUGGCCUUUCCUCCUCUCCUUGCCAAUGUUCUGUGUGAUCUGUAACAGAUCCCUCUGCAUGGGUUUCGUCAAGCUCUUACUCGUGCAGUCCAUUGCAAACUGGCCACAGUACGUGGCCUUCAAAGCAAAUUUUCCCUUGUCAAAGGGACUGCUGCAGAUGCCCAUUGAGUCACACCCCCAGGUACAUUGCAUAGACAAUCCCAGGCCAUUCUUUCUUCUGCAGAACACUGCCAUGUACGUAGAUUAAUCCUCUGUUCUUUUGUCCUGCUCCAAAUAUAUUGGUUAUUCAGCAUGUGGAAAUCACUUUUCUUUGUAAGCCAAAGGCCUGAGCUGCUGCACAAGACCAUGUCAGCUUCCUGGUUUUCUCCAGAAGUGGCCAGCAUGCCCAGAACACAAACUAGAAGAAAAGAAGUAUGAUUAAAUCAAUUCAUGUAAUUUGGUUAGCAUUAGAAAAUCAAGUAAUAG